UGGGGAAUCUUGGACAAUGGGGGCAACCCUGAUCCAGCCAUGCCGCGUGAGUGAUGAAGGCCUUAGGGUCGUAAAGCUCUUUCGCCUGUGAAGAUAAUGACGGUAGCAGGUAAAGAAACCCCGGCUAACUCCGUGCCAGCAGCCGCGGUAAUACGGAGGGGGUUAGCGUUGUUCGGAAUUACUGGGCGUAAAGCGCACGUAGGCGGACCAGAAAGUUGGGGGUGAAAUCCCGGGGGCUCAACCCCGGAACUGCCUCCAAAACUAUUGGUCUAGAGUUCGAGAGAGGUGAGUGGAAUUCCAAGUGUAGAGGUGAAAUUCGUAGAUAUUUGGAGGAACACCAGUGGCGAAGGCGGCUCACUGGCUCGAUACUGACGCUGAGGUGCGAAAGUGUGGGGAGCAAACAGGAUUAGAUACCCUGGUAGUCCACACCGUAAAACGAUGAAUGCCAGUCGUCGGGGUAGCAUGCUAUUCCGGUGACACACCUAAC
rnacentral:rRNA from 1 species